GGUAGGAUCAGCGGGCGCGGGGCGCCCGGCUGUUUGGGGCUGGCGGCUUAGCCGGCGGCCGCGCCGGCGGGGGCGUUCAGCCCGGCCUCUUCCCC
rnacentral:tRNA from 1 species